rnacentral:rRNA from 1 species
GACGAACGCUGGCGGCGUGCCUAACACAUGCAAGUCGAACGGGGUAAUUCCUUCGGGGUUUACUUAGUGGCGAACGGGUGAGUAACGCGUGAGAAACCUGCCUUUCAUUGGGGGACAGCAGUUAGAAAUGACUGCUAAUACCGCAUAAUGUUAUUUGGGGGCAUCACUGAAUAACCAAAGCUUUAUGUGCUGAAAGAUGGUCUCGCGUCUGAUUAGCUAGAUGGCGGGGUAACGGCCCACCAUGGCGACGAUCAGUAGCCGGUCUGAGAGGAUGAACGGCCACAUUGGGACUGAGAUACGGCCCAGACUCCUACGGGAGGCAGCAGUGGGGAAUAUUGGGCAAUGGGGGAAACCCUGACCCAGCAACGCCGCGUGAAGGAAGAAGGCCUUCGGGUUGUAAACUUCUUUUAGCAGGGACGAAGAACGUGACGGUACCUGCAGAAAAAGCAACGGCUAACUACGUGCCAGCCGCCGCAGUAAGAC